rnacentral:lncRNA from 1 species
CCAAAGUUUUCUUUCUGUGGAAAAGUUGAUGCGCCUUUUAAGAAGUGAACAACCAAGUUAUUUGCCUGGAAAAGUCUCCUGAAAUACUGAAGUUAUGCUAAAGAAGGAGAAGAGAAAGGAAGCUGCAGUCCCUGUAUAACUCCUAAAUUUUUAAUUUGGAGUUCCUCUUCUUCGGUGCAACAAUCUUUCUGCAUGCACAGAUCCAUGUGGCACUCAUCUCAUCAUUCUGAGGGAAGAAAGAUGCAUAGGGAAUGUUGCAUGUGGUUAUUUCUGUAAGUAUAGUAAUCAUAGUGUGCCUUUAAUUCUGAAAUCUUAUGUUUGCUUUCAGGAUAAAAUAAAUAAGUAAAAAUAU